GAGAUGCCUUGCUCAUAUCAAAACUGAAGCUUCUCAUGGCUUUGUUUUAAUAAUAUUAAUGUACAGCUGCUCGCUGCUGAUCUCCUAUAAAUAACAGAACACCGAGAAGAACUUUUCACUCCUGAGUAAAAGAAAACAAGUAUGUCAGGGGAUGGUGUGUGUGUGUGUGUGUGUGUGUGUGUGUGUGUGUGUGUGUGUGUGUGUCUUACCGAUGUUCUUCAGGAAGUACUCUCGACACAGGUGCAGGUCGUUGUCACAGGAAAUUAAAAUUAUCUCUGGAAGGUUCUGAAACAAAAA